GAUGAACGCUGGCGGCGUGCCUAAUACAUGCAAGUCGAGCGAACAGAUGAGGAGCUUGCUCCUCUGACGUUAGCGGCGGACGGGUGAGUAACACGUGGAUAACCUACCUAUAAGACUGGGAUAACUUCGGGAAACCGGAGCUAAUACCGGAUAAUAUAUUGAACCGCAUGGUUCAAUAGUGAAAGACGGUUUUGCUGUCACUUAUAGAUGGAUCCGCGCCGCAUUAGCUAGUUGGUAAGGUAACGGCUUACCAAGGCAACGAUGCGUAGCCGACCUGAGAGGGUGAUCGGCCACCCGAGAACUGAGACACGGACCAGACUCCUACGGGAGGCAGCAGUAGGGAAUCUUCCGCAAUGGGCGAAAGCCUGACGGAGCAACGCCGCGUGAGUGAUGAAGGUCUUCGGAUCGUAAAACUCUGUUAUUAGGGAAGAACAAAUGUGUAAGUAACUAUGCACGUCUUGACGGUACCUAAUCAGAAAGCCACGGCUAACUACGUG
rnacentral:rRNA from 1 species